UGGUCUCAAGUGAUCCUCCCACCUUGGCCUCCCCAGCGUACUGGGAUUACAGGUGCACCCGGCCCACAGAACUCUUUAUUCAAAUGAAUCUCCCUUGAAAAACCUGAAAGUGUGUGUUGCUGCUCUGGUCAAAGGCAACUGGGACGAGGAGCUCAGGGUUUGCCUCCUUAUCUUCACCUCUGGAUGCACCUGUGACACUUCUGUGACUUCACAGGCCCCAAGAGCACAUUUGGAAACCUCUGGGCUGUAUGACCUCCAGGCAGGUUCUGAGGCCAACCCCUCAACUCGCUAUGCAUGGAUUGUGAUACUCCUUGGUGCCCAGCCCAGCAGAUUUCCUUGAAAGAUGCUGGCUUCUUGGCACGUGUAGUCAAAACGUCCCACUUGGUUCUUCCCCAGACUGCUGGGCCCCACUCCUGGAUGGGAUGUCAGGGCCAGAUCCAUGGCUUCCUGAGAGAAUCUGGAGGCUAGCCCACCUCCUGCUGCCCAAUCCCUCCAGUGUGUCCAACAUAAUCAGCCCAAACUGCAUGGGGCCAAUUUAUUUAAAUAAAUGUUAAUCCUGCUCAGAGCUAGAUGAAUGGGGCCUUUGGAAACAGUGCUACAAUUUGUUCCCUGAGGUAAGUCUUUUUUUCUUUUUUGCAUUCAUCUCUUCAUUGAGGCUGCUGCCAUCUCAUCCCCUUCUGAUUCAUAAAAUCAAUAUGCCUAGAAAUGUUCAGCCUGGACAAUACAGUGAGACCCUGUCUGUACAAAAAAUUAAAAAAAAAAAUUAGCUGAGCAUGGUGGUAUGUGCCUGUAGUCCCAGCUACUCAGGAGGCUGAAGUGGGAGGAUUGUUUGAGCCCAGGAGGCAGAGAUUGCAGUAAGCCAGGAUCAUGCUACUGCACUCCAGCCUGGGUGACAUAGAAAGACUCUGGCUCGGAAGGAAGGAAGGAAGGAGUAAUGCUCACAGCCCUUGGGUUUUCGUAGCUCAUCCCUCCAUCCAUCCACUCAUGGGAUAAACAUCAGAUGAACAUCUGAGUACUAGGUGCUGUGCUGAGCCCUUGUCUUCCACAGACAAGGAAGACUCAUCUCUUGUACAGUGCCCAAUUCCCAGUUCCCAGCUCGUGCCUCUGUGCUUUUCCAGCCCUGGGAAAUUGUUGUGGACAUUUGCUGGCACUGGGCCACUCAGCAUUGGUUUCCCCUCACAGCUCUCUGCUCUCCCUUCCCAUUGCCUGCCUCCUGCCAGCACAGUCUUGGUGAGACACUAAAUCGGGGAGCCUUGCCCUCCCAUCCUGGAAGCCAAAGGGGUCUCUGAAGGUUUUCCCUGCCCCAGUUCUUCCUCUCCCUGCCCCAGUGAGACCAAAGCAUUGACACCUGACCUCAAUCCUUCCAGUCAGAGCCCUUCCCAGGACUUUGAAACAAGGUGGGAGAGGCAGUUGACUUCUUCACCACAGCCACACAGCCUGACUGCCAAGAACCUCUCUGCUGCUUCCUGUUCUUUGUCCAGACCUAGUUCUCCAGCCUUCCUGUGGGUUCUGGGCAUCUCCAAAAUUUUCUUUUUAAUUUAAAGACAACCAGAGUUGGUUUCUGUUUCCUGCAGUUAAGGAUCCCUGGCCAGGCACGGUGGCACAUGCCUAUAAUCCCAGCACUUUGGGAAGCCAAGGCGGGAGGAUUGCUUGAUGCCAGGGGGUCUAGACCAGCUUGGGAAACAGCGAAACCCUGUCUCUACAAAAUAUUUUAAAAUUAAAUCUUUUUAAUUUUAAAAAGCUUAGUGGCAUGGCCUGUAGUCCUAGCUACUCGGGAGGCUGAGGCAGGAGGAUCUCUUGAGCCUCAAGAGGGUUCAAGGUUACAAUGAGCUAUGAUGGAACCACUGUACUCCAGCCUGGUAACAAAACAAGACCCUGUCUGUGAAAAAUAAAUACAUUUUUAAAAAAGAUCCUUGACCAACAUACUGGGUUCUAGCUGUUAUUUCAAUUGUAUCUAACAUGCUGGAAACAUACUUUGCCAAGCACCUGUUCUGGGCCAGGUGCUGUGGAUAUAUUGACCUGGAGGAAGACAGACAAGUAAACAGUCAGUGUUUAAAUUAGGGGAAAUGUUGUGGAAGCCUAGAGAACAACAGAGGAAGAGGUCGGCUCCACCUGAAGGGAGGAGGGGUCAGGAAAGCUUCAGAGAGCAGGUCAUCCCAACGGGGGUCCCUGUUUUUGCCCCUGCCCCCACCUGCACCCCCUCAGCCUUCUCAACACAGCAACCUGAGGGAUCAUUUACAAAUCAGAUCAGGUCACGGCUGGGCUCAGAGCUCUCCAAUGGCUCUCAUCUCACUCAGAGUCAGAGCUGGGGUCCUGCUGAAGCGGUGUCAUUAUCUGGGGUAAAUACCCGAGGUUCCUUGACUCACGCCAGGGAAAUUGAAGACACAGACACACAAGAAGUGAGUUUAAGAGUGGAGGUUUAACAGGCGAAAGAAAGAGAAAAGAGAAUAGGUUUCUUUCCUGCAGAGAGAGAGAGAGGCUCCCGAGCGGAUCUUCUGGUUUUGUAGUUAAAAGCACGGGGUUUUACAGACGAACUUGAGAAGGUGGUGUCUGAUUUACAUAGGGCCUGAGCGAUUGGUUAAGCCAGGUGUGACGUUUGCAUAGUGCGUGAAAAAGCUGGCCAUCCCACCCUGAUCUUUUAUUAUGUAGAUGGCGUCUCUAUCUGGCCAGCGCCAUGUUGUCUGUUCCUUACUGUACAUGUGGUUGGCAAAGAAAAGGGAAGAUGGAGCCUCCAUAUUGAACAUGACAUUUUGGCCCCCAGGUAGCAUUUUCCUAUUGGCACAGCUGCCAGCAUUCACCCGUGCAAGUUUCCAGCUUGCUUAUCUAUGUCUGCAGCUCGAUUUUACAGGCUCUUUCUUAGAAAAAGAAAUGAUUUGGGGGCUGCUUUUGAUUAAAAGGAAAACCUUACUGAGGACUUCCUUACCCUCAUUAUCUGCCUGAGAAAUUUCUUUUAUUUUUAUUUUAUUUUAUUUUGAGACAGAGUCUCUCUCUGUUGCCAGGCUGGAGUGCAGUGAUGCGAUCUUGGCUCACUGCAACCUCUGCCUCCCGGGUUCAAGCGAUUCUCUUGCCUCAGCCUCAGGCACGUGCCACCAUGCCCAGCUAUUUUUGUAGUUUUAGUAGAGACAGGGUUUCACCAUGUUGGCCAGGAUGGUCUUGAUCUCUUGACCUUGAGAUCCACCCUCCUCGGCCUCCCAAAGUGUUGGGAUUACAGGCGUGAGCCACCAUGCCCGGCCAGAAAUUUCUUUUUAACUCCUAUAUCACUACGAUGCUCUAGAAGGCCUUAUAUGACCAGCAAAGACUACAUCUCCUGGUCCCUGUGCAGCUGGGUAGGGCCUAGUGCCAACCUCUCAGCAAUGGGAUGAAACUGCAGUAGGUGGGUGCAUCUUGCCCAUCACUUGCCUAAGAGGAAAUGCUGGACUUGAACUUGUUCACUGUACCUUCCCACUCCGCCUAGAAUGUCCACAGCCGGAGCAGCCCCAGAACACACAAGGAGGGGUUAACUCCUGGCUCCUGAAUGACCGUGUGGAACAGAGCUGCCUUCUGUCCAUCAUAUGUGCAGUGGGGCCUCCAAAGGUUUCAGAAGUGAGCGGCCCCGCUCUGCUGCCCUCUCAUUUUCCUGCAGCUGGUUUUCAUAAGUAUUUGGACUUUUCUAUCUCUAUCAGAUGUUAGUUAUCAGCAUGUUUUCCUCCAUGUUUCUUCUAAGUUGCAGCUGCUUUAAAUCUGCUGUAGGCUAGGAAAUCAGACCAUCAAGUUUCCUGGAACAGUGACUAAAGUAAACAGGUUCUGAGGGAGGCCUGAGAAGACCACUUGUGACAAAAGUGGGUGUGAUUUAGCACAUAGGUUCUGAGGUGUCCAGAGCUUCUCAGAGGCUGUUUUGACCUUAUUCUUAUUUCCUCUUGUUUUCCAGACUUUGGAGUUUGCUGAAAUGUAACCUCAGAAUAAGUGGGGUAUGACUGCCCUCUCCUUUGAGGGAAAAGAAAAAGUAUUUUCAGGCCAGGCACGGUGGCUCAUGCUUAUAAUCCCAGCACUUUGGGAGGCUGAGAAUACAUCAAUAAAAGAAGAACAAUUCAAGAGAAACAGGAAAUUCACAGAAGAGGAAACCGGAAUUGUCAUAAACAAAUGAAAAAUGCUCAACUUCCCUAGUAAUUAUGAGAAUUCAAAUCAAAAUAAAGACUUCAUUUCACACUUA